GUUGUAUGGUUAAGUGACUAAGCGUACACGGUGGAUGCCUUGGCAGUCAGAGGCGAUGAAAGACGUAGUAACUUGCGAUAAGCCCAGAUUAGGUAGUAACAACCAUUUGAGUCUGGGAUUUCUGAAUGGGGAAACCCACGUGCAUAAGCACGUAUCCUUACCUGAAUACAUAGGGUAAGGAGGCGAACCGGGGGAACUGAAACAUCUAAGUACCCCGAGGAAAAGAAAUCAACCGAGAUUCCGAAAGUAGCGGCGAGCGAAAUUGGACUAGCCCUUAAGCUUUACACGCGUUAGACGAACGGUCUGGAAAGUCCGACGAUACAGGGUGAUAGUCCCGUAGUUGACGACGUGUGUUCAGUGAAAUCGAGUAGGGCGGGACACGUGAUAUCCUGUCUGAAUAUGGGGGGACCAUCCUCCAAGGCUAAAUACUACUGACUGACCGAUAGUGAACCAGUACCGUGAGGGAAAGGCGAAAAGAACCCCUGUGAGGGGAGUGAAAUAGAACCUGAAACCGUGUACGUACAAGCAGUAGGAGCACCUUCGUGGUGUGACUGCGUACCUUUUGUAUAAUGGGUCAGCGACUUAUAUUCAGUGGCAAGGUUAACCAUCUAGGGGAGCCGUAGGGAAACCGAGUCUUAACUGGGCGUUCAGUCUCUGGAUAUAGACCCGAAACCAGGUGAUCUAGCCAUGGGCAGGUUGAAGGUUGAGUAACAUCAACUGGAGGACCGAACCGACUAAUGUUGAAAAAUUAGCGGAUGACUUGUGGCUAGGGGUGAAAGGCCAAUCAAACCUGGAGAUAGCUGGUUCUCCCCGAAAGCUAUUUAGGUAGCGCCUCGGACGAAUACUACUGGGGGUAGAGCACUGUUAAGGCUAGGGGGUCAUCCCGACUUACCAACCCUUUGCAAACUCCGAAUACCAGUAAGUACUAUCCGGGAGACACACGGCGGGUGCUAACGUCCGUCGUGGAGAGGGAAACAACCCAGACCGCCAGCUAAGGUCCCAAAUUACUACUAAGUGGGAAACGAUGUGGGAAGGCUCAGACAGCCAGGAUGUUGGCUUAGAAGCAGCCAUCAUUUAAAGAAAGCGUAAUAGCUCACUGGUCGAGUCGGCCUGCGCGGAAGAUGUAACGGGGCUAAGUAGUAAACCGAAGCUGCGGCAAUGUGCUUUUGCACAUUGGGUAGGGGAGCGUUCUGUAAGCGGUUGAAGGUGUGUGGUAACGCAUGCUGGACGUAUCAGAAGUGCGAAUGCUGACAUGAGUAACGAUAAAGGGGG
rnacentral:rRNA from 1 species